rnacentral:rRNA from 1 species
UUCCACGCUGGCGAGAAAAGUUGCUAAAUAGGGCUGAAGGUGCCCGUACCGCAAACCGACACAGGUAGGUGAGGAGAAAAUCCUAAGACGAGCGGGAUAACCCAUGUUAAGGAACUCUGCAAAAUCACCCCGUAACUUAGGGAGAAGGGGUACCACGCAAGUGGUCGCAGUGAAGAGGCCCAAGCGACUGUUUACCAAAAACACAGGUCUCUGCUAAAUCAUAAGAUGAAGUAUAGGGGCUGACGCCUGCCCAGUGCUGGAAGGUUAAGGGGAUGUGUUAGCGCAAGCGAAGCACGGAACUUAAGCCCCAGUGAACGGCGGCCGUAACUAUAACGGUCCUAAGGUAGCGAAAUUCCUUGUCAGGUAAGUUCUGACCCGCACGAAUGGCGUAACGAUUUGGGCGCUGUCUCAACAUGGGACCCGGCGAAAUUGUAGUAUACGUGAAGAUGCGUAUUACCCGCGACUGGACGGAAAGACCCCGUAGAGCUUUACUGUAGUCUGAUAUUGGAUUUCGGUGAUUUAUGUACAGGAUAGGUGGGAGACUUUGAAGCAUAGGCGUCAGCUUAUGUGGAGUCAACCUUGGGAUACCACCCUUAAAUUAUUGAGGUUCUAACUUUGUGCCGUAAUCCGGGCAGAGAACAGUGUCAGAUGGGCAGUUUGACUGGGGCGGUCGCCUCCUAAAAUGUAACGGAGGCGUCCAAAGGUUCCCUCAGGAUGGUUGGAAAUCAUCCAAAGAGUAUAAAGGCAGAAGGGAGCUUAACUGCGAGACAGACAUGUCGAGCAGAUACGAAAGUAGGGCUUAGUGAUCCGGCGGUAGAGUAUGGAAUUGCCGUCGCUUAACGGAUAAAAGUUACCUCGGGAUAACAGGCUUAUCUCCCCCAAGAGUUCACAUCGACGGGGAGGUUUGGCACCUCGAUGUCGGCUCGUCACAUCCUGGGGCUGUAGUAGGUCCCAAGGGUUCGGCUGUUCGCCGAUUAAAGUGGCACGCGAGCUGGGUUCAGAACGUCGUGAGACAGUUCGGUCCCUAUCCAUCGUGGGCGUAGGAUAUUUGAGAGGAUCUGCUCCUAGUACGAGAGGACCAGAGUGGACGCACCUAUGGUGCACCUGUUGUCGCGCCAGCGGCACAGCAGGGUAGCGAUGUGCGGAUGGGAUAAACGCUGAAAGCAUCUAAGCGUGAAACCCACCUCAAGAUUAGAUAUCCCAUAUCAUAAGAUAGUAAGACCCCUUGAAGACUACAAGGUUGAUAGGUCGGAGGUGUAAGCACGGUAACGUGUUCAGCUGACCGAUACUAAUAGGUCGAGGGCUUAGUAAA